UAAAUCAAAAAUUUUUAUCGAUUACAAAUUUAUCAAAUUGAUAAGUCAUAUAUUAUUCUUGGAUCACAAAUUAUAAAUUUUACAAGUCACAAUUUAUUUUAUGGUAAUAAAAUAUCUAAUUAAUUAGUCACAAAUUAUUAUUUGAUCACAACUUAACAAAUUGUUAGGCCACACGUUAUUUAUUAGUCAUAAUUUAUAGAAUUCAUUGGCCACAUAUUAUGUAUUGGUCACCAACAAUCAAAUCAUUUAUGCCUAUCAUCAACACUUGUGACCAUCACCUCACCACUGCCACUAGUCGCAUCGCCGUCGAAACAUCGCCGCUAGGAACACCACCAUCUCCUGUAGCAAAACCAUCAUCCCAAAAUCGCAACCAAAUAUCACCAUCGUUAGCCUACCACUUCACAAACACAAGCCCCACCAAAAAAAAUAAUAAUAAUAAAAUAAAAUAAUCCCAAAUCUGCUGUCGAGCACUUACCACCACCACCAUCUUCGCUGCCACCUACUACAAACUAUCAUGUUCAUCUUCAAAACUGUCGCUGCCACCUCACUGCUACUACCAUCGACAAAACCAUCGCCACUGCCACCUCACCACCAACAACCAACAAAAAACAACAACCACACAACUCCAGUUAAGCAAAUUAGAUUGGAAUAGGAGGAAAUCACCAAAAAAAAUCUGGUAUCGAUUUCGCAUCUGGCCACAGGCAGUGCGCCAUCUUACCGACAACACUACUAUUACAACAAUAGCAGCGUCACUAUCAUUGUUCUCUGGUAAUUACAUCGCAUCUGGCUAUAGGCGGUGCUUCUGAGAUGGCACAUCGUUGACAACGUUGAUGUCACUACACUAUCGCGAGUUCGCAGAAAUGCUAGGCGCUGUUGCAACAUCUACUUACCGAAUGACUAUUGGGACGUGGUGUGUGAGAAAGAGUACUUACUGAACAAGAACUAGGAGUGUGGAGUGAGAGAGGGGUAUGGUGGCUUGGUGAAUAUAUUAGGGUUUGGGAUUUAGGUGUUAGAUGAGGAAUUGUUAUUUAUAUUUUAAAUUAAAAAAAUAAUUAUAAUCUAAUUUUUGAAAGAAAAUAGUUAUAAUCUUACUUUUGAAGUUGAAAAUUUAAACGUAAGGUUGGCUGUAAUUUCCACUUUAUUAAUUUAUUACCAUGGUGGCGAUAGGGC
rnacentral:lncRNA from 1 species